rnacentral:rRNA from 1 species
CGUGACGGGUGAGUAAUGCCUAGGAAUCUGCCUGGUAGUGGGGGACAACGUUUCGAAAGGAACGCUAAUACCGCAUACGUCCUACGGGAGAAAGCAGGGGACCUUCGGGCCUUGCGCUAUCAGAUGAGCCUAGGUCGGAUUAGCUAGUUGGUGAGGUAAUGGCUCACCAAGGCGACGAUCCGUAACUGGUCUGAGAGGAUGAUCAGUCACACUGGAACUGAGACACGGUCCAGACUCCUACGGGAGGCAGCAGCC